rnacentral:rRNA from 1 species
AAUUUUGCGCAAUGGGCGAAAGCCUGACGCAGCAACGCCGCGUGUGUGACGAAGCCCUUCGGGGUGUAAAACACUGUCAGUAGGGACGAAAUUUGACGGUACCUACAGAGGAAGCACCGGCUAACUCCGUGCCAGCAGCCGCGGUAAUACGGAGGGUGCAAGCGUUGUCCGGAAUCAUUGGGCGUAAAGAGUUCGUAGGCGGCAUGUCAAGUCUGGUGUUAAAUCCUGAGGCUCAACCUCAGAGCGGCACUGGAUACUGGCAAGCUUGAAUGCGGUAGAGGUAAAGGGAAUUCCUGGUGUAGCGGUGAAAUGCGUAGAUAUCAGGAAGAACACCGGUGGCGUAAGCGCUUUACUGGGCCGUUAUUGACGCUGAGGAACGAAAGCCGGGGGAGCAAAUGGG